GUAGGUGAACCUGCGGAGGGAUCAUUAACACGUGCCAAAACACGUUUUAAACCAAUCGCUCUGUGAACACAAACCCAACUCCCUUCACAUAUGGACGAUCGAACAACCAUCAGGGUGGAGAGCAAGUGCAUACGGACAAUCGGCUCCUCGGAGACGACUCGGUAUGUCUUGCGACUAUGGCUCGGUCUAGGGCUCCUUGAGAGUCCAAUCCUGUGUGAAGUGUUGCGCGACCACCUGGCAGUGUGCCGUUUUCAUGGCCUGCAUUCGUGCGGGCUGUGUUAAUGUGCAAGCGUUCUGCCGAAUCUGUUUAACCCAAUUUUUUAACCCCUUUAACAACAUACUAAUAACUGAACCAUGUUCAUGCAGUUGCUUGUGUUGACUUCGGUCAUCGCAUGUUGGCUCAUGAUACGAUAUACGUAAUGCUGAACAACUCUUAGCAAUGGAUAUCUUGGUUCUC
rnacentral:misc_RNA from 1 species